rnacentral:rRNA from 1 species
CUGCGNUGCUUCCAUCAGUCGACGGCAGCACGGGUGCUUGCACCUGGUGGCGAGUGGCGAACGGGUGAGUAAUACAUCGGAACAUGUCCUGUAGUGGGGGAUAGCCCGGCGAAAGCCGGAUUAAUACCGCAUACGAUCCACGGAUGAAAGCGGGGGACCUUCGGGCCUCGCGCUAUAGGGUUGGCCGAUGGCUGAUUAGCUAGUUGGUGGGGUAAAGGCCUACCAAGGCGACGAUCAGUAGCUGGUCUGAGAGGACGACCAGCCACACUGGGACUGAGACACGGCCCAGACUCCUACGGGAGGCAGCAGUGGGGAAUUUAGGACAAUGGGCGAAAGCCUGAUCCAGCAAUGCCGCGUGUGUGAAGAAGGCCUUCGGGUUGUAAAGCACUUUUGUCCGGAAAGAAUCCUUGGCUCUAAUACAGUCGGGGGAUGACGGUACCGGAAGAAUAAGCACCGGCUAACUACGUGCCA